GCAAAUGCAAAGCUGUCCCCGCACACAAAAUAUUGCUUUAUGCAAAGCACUGGGCUAGCCUCGCCACUGCCUAUUGGCUGCUCCCCCCCAGCGCCUGGCCCCAUUGGCUCCUGCCUUUGAAUAUGAAUACAGCUGAUUUUUUUUUUUCUCUUCCACUGCUCAGAUUUUUUUUUUUUUUACUGUGUAUUUUUCUCCUCUCUAUAAGUAUGUGUUUGUCACACUAACGCCACUUUUACAAGCUGGUUCAAGAUAUCAUUAUUGGAUUUAACUCUCAUUUUUUAUUUUUUUUUAAGGAUUUUUUGACUUUCAAACUUUUCAUGAUCUAAGGACAAUAUAUAUAUAUUUUAAAUCCACUAGAAGGUAUCACUCACCUGCCUCUUCCCUCCACCUCCAGUGGUGUCCCUGCUAAUUGUGUGCUGCUCUCAAUAGGAAUGAAAUCAUUUUCCUUGUAUAUACAACUCAUACACCCUUGCCUUGCAUGUUCUCUGAGCAGUGAGUGUGUCACUUAUGUAAGGUUAUCUCUCCUUAUCUCUGGGAUGACCUAUAAGUGAUAAUGACAGUGUGAGGGGGUAUUGGCAGUAGGGUGCUCUGUACACCGACAGUCAGCAGAGAACCUGAGCAAUAAUAAUAAGCGCAUCAAGACAAAUUGUUUACUGUGGCAUUGCACAGACUGCAGAGCCCCAGAGAAGCCUCAUCUCACCAUCCCUGCAACACAGAGCUGCGGCACCAGUCCAGGCCCCCUGCCCAUCAAGGGGCACAGCGUCCUGGCUCUAGACUGAGACAUUAGCUGGAUUCCCUGGGGGUGAUUGGAGGCAAUCCGCAGAAAGUCGACAGUCACGUCCUGGAUGUUAAAAAUGCACUUUUGCUCAACUUGACAAGCUGGAGUUCGAUCUACAAUUGUAUUUGAAAGCGCAUAGAGCGGAAAGACCCCCACCCCCCCCAUGCUCCCACCCCCCAUCAUUAAGCUCCACUCUCCUUUAGCAAAAUAACAAGAUAUUUCAUUUGCACACAAUCCUGGAUGGAAGAACUCUUUUAAUAGAAAUCUGCUGUGUAAUUCAACAUGGGAUAUUCAAAUCCUGCACCCCCAUCUCUCCCUAUCAGCCCAUCCAUGUGAUCUCACUGAUUUUUACUUUAAAAUCUUGACUAAGAGGAGAGUUCCAACAAGGGGAUUUACACUGAUGCCAUGACCCUUGUAAUUGGAUUAAAUAUGGACUGACUUCAUCCAAAAAAACAUGGCGAGAUUGACACCUGCCAAGGGGAGUCCUCUGUGAUUGACUGUGAUGAGUCGUGCCGGCCGCAGUAAUGAAAUAAAUUGUACGGAUAAAACUUCCACAGUUGUCAUCCAGGGCCAUCAAACAGAAGCCAGAGCCAAAUGAGUGACAAUGAGAGCCAGGGGGGCACCAGAAAAAAAAA